GGGGGUGUAAUGGACCACCAAGGCGACGAUCAGUAGCUGGUUUGAGAGGAUGAUCAGCCACAAUGGGACUGAGACACGGCCCAUACUCCUACGGGAGGCAGCAGUAGGGAAUUUUGCGCAAUGGGCGAAAGCCCGACGCAGCAACGCCGCGUGAAUGAUGAAGCCCUUCGGGGUGUAAAGUUCUGUCAGUAGGGACGCGGUACCUACAGAGGAAGCACCGGCUAACCCCGUGCCAGCAGCCGCGGUAAUACGGAGGGUGCAAGCGUUGUCCGGAAUCAUUGGGCGUAAAGCGUUCGUAGGCGGUACAUCAAGUCUGGUGUUAAAGACCGGGGCUCAACUCCGGCAUGGCAUUGGAUACUGAUGAACUGGAAUGCGGUAGAGGUAAAGGGAAUUCCUGGUGGAGCGGUGAAAUGCUAAGAUAUCAGGAGGAACAUCGGUGGCGAAAGCGCUUUACCGGGCCGUUAUUGACGCUGAGGAACGAAAGCCGGGGGAGCAAAUGGGAUUAGAUACCCCAGUAGUCCCGGCCGUAAACGAUGGAUACUAGGUGUUGCGCAGUGCCGUAGCUAACGCGAUAAGUAUCCCGCCUGGGGA
rnacentral:rRNA from 1 species